rnacentral:misc_RNA from 1 species
AGGAGAGUGAAGGCGCGGGCGCGGGCGCGGGCAGCGCACUGGCGCACGUGUGCUGGCACCGCGCCGCCUCGCUGCGGCGGGCGCAGCUGCACCGCGCCAUGCGGAGCCAACUGUCCGGCUACUUACUACGAAAGUUCAAGAACUCACAUGGCUGGCAGAAGCUGUGGGUGGUGUUCGCGAUGUUCACAUUGUUCUUUUAUAAGACGUGUCGUGACAACUCGCCAUUAGCCUCGCUGCCUCUGCUUGGCUACAACGUGGGCGCGCCGGUUCCGAGUGACGGCAUCGACAAGGAGUUCGUGUUCAAACUGCAGUUCAAGAACCACGUGUACUUCUUCCGAGCGGACAGCCACUUCACUUAUAGCAGAUGGAUAGAAGUCUUAAAAACCCCGAUGGCUUCAGACAGCAACUGAAUAAUGUUAACUAUAGUAAAACUCCAAAUUUGUAAGAAAAAUUUAAAAUAAGAAUACAAAAGAAAUGUUUUAAUAUAGUAAAACCAUUAACAUUGGUGCCAUAAGUUGAUAGGACGCUCUGUAAAAAAUAAGCAAAUUUUUAAUUAGUAAAAAUAUCUGUACACUUUCAAAAGAUCUUGCCUAUAUUUAUUUCGUAAACAGGUAGGUUUCGUUUAUUUAUAUCAAUUAUAUUAGUACAGAUUUUAAGUGGAGUGGAGAUGUUAUUGAUUCUUGUUAUUUUCAUUUGUUGAAAUAAAAAUUUCUUUUAUUAAUCCACUAAUUUUUAUUCAAGGAAUUAAAACGACAGAAAAAGUAAAUAACAUGAAAAAUAAAAAUGGCGCGUAAUUCGAAAGAUGUAAAAAUGUUUUAUGACAUUUUUAAAAAUUCUUUUUUUUUUUAAAUUAUAUAUAUCAAAUAAGUUUUUAUGCUAAGACUGUAAAAAAAAUUAGGUGUGGUGAGUACGACCCUCCAGAGACCGUUCUACGGUCGAUAAUACUUACGUAUAUAAUAUCUACUGUUCUUCCUGAACGUGAUUUCACUUUUUCAUUUUAAUUUUUUUUUUAUCUGAGGUGGGGUAUAAUGAUGGGUUUAUCGUCUUUGUUUUCGAACUCUUCUGUUAUAAUAUAAGCAGGCGUGAGUCUUACCAUUGAUACAGUAACAAGUCUGUCUUUAUAUUUCCAAUACUUCGUGUGGUCCGGUAUAUGAAGGUUGAAGAACUUCUCUGUGAUGCCUUCUUCUCUAAGGUAAACAUGACUCGUUAAAAAGAAGUCUUUGAAAACGAAGAUGGACUUAUCAUAAUGUCUGGAAACUGAUUGAGGUCUGAUGUUUUUACUGACAAAUAUUAAUCGUUUCAUUACAUUAAUCUUUAAAAAGAAAACAAGUUUUAGUAGUUCAUUCAUAUCAUUGGCGUGGUCUUACUAUGCUUUUCCCAAAAAUCUUCCUGUUUGAGUGUUAAGAUUAUAAAACAGAGCAGUUAGUCAUGAAAUGCUAUUUUAUAAGUAUAAUUAACAAUUGUUAAAUGCAUACUAACUUAUUUAUUAUGAUAUUUGUACAAAUAAAAGACGGUACGUAAAGAGUAAAGACAUACUAGUAAAUUAAUUUAGUUAUUCAGAGAUAUAUAGGAAAGACAUUUGACUGCGAUAACAGAAGAAAAGUAAUUCCUACUUAUUUAUUUGUAAACAACUCAUGGUUGUCAAAGAAAUAGACAAACUUGAAAUAAAUUACUAUUCUUCUCCGUAGUCUGAUGAAAUAAAUGUAAUUAAAUUUAUGUUACACAUAAUUAAGAUGAAUCAUAAUAAUACGUAUUAAGUAUAUAUUUAUUUUAUUUAUUAAUAAAAAUAUUCACACAAUUCUUUACUAACAGAAGAGAAGAGGAGAAGAUAGCUUCUUAUCUUCUGCCUUAUCUUCUUUUUCUAUUUAAUAAAACUGCUAAUUUUGAAGUGAAUAUAAGAUUAUAUUGUCGAAUAUAAUAGUACAAUAUUAGAUGUUAUGUUUGUUAGGAGGACAUUCCAAAAAAUUAUGAAUAUCUUCAAAAAAUUUUAACGUGACAAUAAACUGAAUGCCAAAUUCAUAUUAAGUUUAUAGAUAAAUUGGUCUAAACUUUUUUAUAAUUAUUGUAUUUGAUGAACAAAUACAUAGGAAAGUGUACGUACAUAUAAAAAUUACAAAUAUGUGUAUGUAUGUGCGUAGUAUAGUAAAAAAAUUGUAGAAAGGUUAUUUGUUUAGUACAAACUAUCGUCUAUUGAAUAAAAUAUUGUAAAUUAUCUGUAUAAAAACGAUUAUCAUAAAUCACAUUUUACGAUAUGAAAAGUGAUAAUUAGGUAUGUGAACUUUUUCAAUAAUAUCACUAGUAAGUAAAUUAUCUAAAAAAGGAAAGGGAGAAGUAUAAAAAAAAUAUAAUAUAAUAUAUAUAUUUUUUGGUUUAAAUUUUGCGAUUUAUAAUAUGAUAUUUGGUGUUAAGAAAUGUAUCCAUGUAUAGUAUCAAUGGGAACACAUGGCAUGUUUUGUCUUUUAGCUAUAUGCAUAUUCAGAUAUUAAUUUGCUAUUUACAUGAAAAUAUAUCACUUUUUGUGACAGUAUAUCUGAUAACAUAUUGAUAAUAUUGAGAAUAAUUAAAUAAGAAAUGAAAAUAACGAUCUGUGACUUGAAUGAUUUUUUUUUAAAUUUGUACAAAAUAUGUAUUUUUUCGUAACUAUUUAAUAUUAUUUUCUUAUUUAAGUUUUUUUAUCGUUGAAAUAAAGGAAAGCUUUCAUAAAUAAUAUAAUGUUGUCUGUAAAUAUUUCAAUUAAGUGUUUAAUUUUAUGAAAUAAAUAAAAGGAAAAAUGUAUUACGAUUUAUUGCAAGAUUAUUGUUAAUAACAAAUGAAAAUGUUUAAUUGAAAACAAUUUUUACAAAAAAUAUAGGAAAUCUUGUCUUGUAAAUUAAAUAUGUUUAGUAUAUGUAGGCUUUGAACUCAGUAAUCGCAUUAUUUAUCUUGAAGAUAAACUUAAAUAUUGUUUGUAUACAUUUUUUAAAAUCCCAUUUCUUCAUUUUUGUCGAUAAGGUUACUCUGUUUUAGUACAUGAGUGUAUAUUUAACGCCAGAUUUUAAAACAAAUAUUUUUAAUGUUAUGAAUAUUUAUAAAAACGAAUAUAAUCGAAAGAUCAAAGCUUUUAUAUAAUGUGUCAUAAAUUCUUAAAUAAUAUUUCACAGACAUUAUUAGUUCCAAUAUCUAGCGUAUCAAAUAUACUGGCCAUAAUAAGGAAAGGUUAAAUAGUCACAAAGAAAUUAUGAGGGACUUUGUUUCGUAAUCAUGUACAUCACAAAGGUCAACACAAGAUUUUUGUAUGAAUUAUAGAAAUUGAAAAUAUGAGUUGUGUAUUAUUUAGUCGUAUUUUUCUUAACCUUUCGUUUUUAACUAUUUCAUAGAGUCUUAGUACCAUAUACUCUCUGCUUUAUGCUCGGGAAUGCGUAAACGCUUUCCAUUUAGUUAAAACGUUGUUCAAAUAUAAUUUCUCCAUUCCGACGACGUUCUAAGCCGAGGUGCGAUAUCACUAGAAGACACCCUUAGGAUGAACGUCCCCCUGAGCCCUCUAAAAAGGCUCACAUCGUCCUUCGCGGCCGGUGUCUAUAGUACCUACCUGGCCCCCCACACCGGUGACGCUAUAGCCAACAGUAACAAUCAUUUAAAAAAAAAUGCAAUAUUAUUAUUGUUUUUAUCUGUCUUAAAUACACAAAUAGGAUAAGAGAUUAUUUUUAUCGAUUAGGAAAAUUUCACAAAAAGAUAUCGUAUAAAAAUUGACUCAUCAUUUUAUCUUUACCGUUUCAUAUUUAUCGAUUAAUCACAAUAAUUUUUCGGUGAUUUCCAUUCAUGUAAAACAGUCAAUAAGGAAAUGUGUCAUUGGUACUACACAGCGUUAUCUUACCAUUGUCAUGAUUUAUAACGAUAAUUUGAAGAUUAUUUUGAUAAAGUUAAAUAGAAAAAAAAUGUUUAUUUUGACCACCAUAUAUUUUUAGACUACAAAUUACAAAUAGACAUUUAAGAUCAUUUAACAGAGAUUAAAUUAUUUGGCUUCCAUUUAUUUUCUACUUUACAGAUAAUAUCUUAAAAUAUUUUAAAAUUCAUGAUCGUAUUAAUUCUUUAAAAUAUAUAUAAUAAUUAUCGUCUUAAUUCUAAAGAUAUACAAUAUAUAAAUGUAUUUAUAAAAUAUUUUUAAUUUGCUAUAGUUAAAGUGUACCCGUUUUAUGGCUUAAAAUAUUAGGAGAUCAAUGGUUUUCUUUUGGCAUACGAUUUCAUAUAAUUAGUAAAAUAUACAUACAUUACGACUACUAACGAGUACAACCUUUAGUAAAAUUGCACACAAUGUAAUAAUUAUUAUUUAACGUACAUUAAAUCCGCCAAAUUCGUGGAUAUUUUAUUUUGUGAAAGUUAAAUAAUUUUUUUAUGAUACUUAAAAUACAUUAUAGUAUAUUUUUUGACUUAAACUUUUACUUAAUGGCUGCACACAUUAAAAAGUAUUCUCACUAACAAAACAGUAGGUAU